AACCGGAUUAGAUACCCUGGUAGUCCACGCCCUAAACGAUGUCUACUAGUUGUCGGGUUUUAAUUAACUUGGUAACGCAGCUAACGCGUGAAGUAGCCCGCCUGGGGAGUACGGUCGCAAGAUUAAAACUCAAAGGAAUUGACGGGGACCCGCACAAGCGGUGGAUGAUGUGGAUUAAUUCGAUGCAACGCGAAAAACCUUACCUACCCUUGACAUGUACGGAAGACCGAAGAGAUUUGGUUGUGCUCGAAAGAGAACCGUAACACAGGUGCUGCAUGGCUGUCGUCAGCUCGUGUCGUGAGAUGUUGGGUUAAGUCCCGCAACGAGCGCAACCCUUGUCAUUAGUUGCUACAUUUAGUUGAGCACUCUAAUGAGACUGCCGGUGACAAACCGGAGGAAGGUGGGGAUGACGUCAAGUCCUCAUGGCCCUUAUGGGUAGGGCUUCACACGUCAUACAAUGGUACAUACAGAGGGCCGCCAACCCGCGAGGGGGAGCUAAUCCCAGAAAGUGUAUCGUAGUCCGGAUCGCAGUCUGCAACUCGACUGCGUGAAGUUGGAAUCGCU
rnacentral:rRNA from 1 species